AGCUGAGAAUUAUUAAUAUAAUUUUAAAAGAUGGUGAUAUGAUAUUAGUAAAUAAUAUACACAAUACAUAUUGAUAAGUAAAACUAUUUUAUUGAUGACUAACUUGUCAUUUGGAAUUAUUGUUUAAUUUCCUUUUAGAAAUGGUAAUAAUAAUAGCCUGGUUAUCAAUGAGAAUAGCACUGCUACUAAGGAGAGUUUUAGAAUUUUAUGGAAUAUUUUGGUUAUAUCACUGAUGAGUGUUCUAAGGCAUUUAGUGAGUGGAAACAGGAAUAUUAAGUAUCCUACAAAUGCAGAGCUACCUUAUUCAAUUUUUAAAUAUCUUCCUAGACAGUCAGAUGAAGACAUCAGAUGGAAUCAUUUGUGUUCUACUCUACUUAUGUGUAUUAUUUUAAUAAAACUACUUUCCUUUUAUUUCUUGAAAUGAUUAAAGCUAGGAUAUUACAUUAAUUUUUAAAAUUACAUCAUUUGUAAUUUUGUCCUCUAUUAAUUUCACUUCAGAAAAGUAAAGAGCAUACUAUAAAAUAUUUCUUAUAAAAAGAUUUUUUAGGUGUUCCCUGGUGGCUCAAUGGGUUAAGUGCUGUCACUGCCAUGGCUCUGGUUACUGCGAUAGCAUGAGUUUGAUCACUGGCCUGGGAACUUCCACAUGCCAAAGGUGCAACCAAAAAAUAGACAAAUCAAAAAUUUAAAAAGUGAGUUCCCAUCGUGGCUCUGCAGUAACGAACCUGACUAAUAUCCAUGAGGACUUGGGUUCAGUCCUUGGCCGUGGCUAGGGUGGCAGCUACAGCUGUGAUGCAGUCCCCAGCCUGGGAACUUCCAUAUGCUGUGGGUGAGGCCCUAAAAAAAAAGCAAAAAAUAAAAAUAAUAAAUAAAUAAAAAUAUUUUUUAUCUGAUAGAGCUGAUAUCCACAGGAUAAGGAGUGAAGAAAUCACUAGAAUGGAAAAGAAUAAAACUGAAUUUCGGAAAUUCCUUAACUAGAAAAUGUCCAAAGAAAUGUGAUGACGGCAACUUAUAAGGAGUAAAACUUGCUGAUAUCAUGUUAUAGUGCUCAGGUUUGGUUUCAUAGCUUGACCUUCUCAGCUCUCUUAGUGAACCAGGGAGGUAAAGGUUGAUUUCAGUGAUAUUUUCAGUAGUUUCCGGAGGACUGCUCAGAGAAAGUUUUUCAUUGAUAUUUAUCCUUGCCAAGUUUUUGUUGUAUGUUGAUGGUGGUGGUGGUGGCUUCAUGUCUAUUUUAACUAUUUUAACCCCUCUUGAGAAUUACUCAUGCCAUUUCCAAAUGGGUUUCUCCAAAAUUAAAUCAACAUCUAAGAAAUCAGCUCAGAAAUCCUUGUAUUAACAGCUCAAACUUUGAAGUAUUUACAUUCCUUUGUAUUUCAGCCCAUCUGGGCUAUAAGACUGAGUCUUGCCCAAAAAUGCGACCUUUUGAAUAAGCUUCAAAUACCCAGUGGGCCAGUUGCAACAAAUGUUCGUGGACUUCAAAGAAUCCUCUUUUUAGAGAACAAUCAGGAUAAAGGCAUAUGUAAUCAUUCCUAGUGGGAUUCUGUUCAUCUUCUUAAUAAUUCAAUCACCUGAGUAAUCAUAAAGCUUAAAAUAUACUCACCUCUGUAUCUCUUUUGCUUAUUAAACAAACAGUCUUAUCUAGCUAUUUUUACCGAAUUAUCUUCAAAGAAUGUCAGUUCUUUUUUCUCUGAAGCCAAAGAAUGAUUAAUGCAUACAAGACGUAACUCAAGAGAAGGCAUCUUAUUAAUUAAAAUCCUAAAUCGAACAACGUAAUAAGAUUGUUUCUACACAGUAGCUUACUAGUAAUUUUUACAGAAACAGAAAUAUAUGUGAACACAUGAAACGUUCAAUAAUGUAUUGCUUGAACGAAUGAGUACAGUAAUUAAUGAGUAAUAUAUCUAUGGAGUAUUUGUAAGUACUCAUUACAACUACAUUUUGGAGAUCUAAGUUAAGCUAAAACAUAAAGUACAUUCCAAGUGUGUUUUUACUAUAGAAAGAGCAUGAAAAAAUCCUAGUUAAUCAUAUUAAUGUAAAUAAUUAUAAAAUUUAAAUAUGCUUGAUGCUUUCAAUGUGUACUUUGUACUGUUAUUUGGAUUUCAUAUCUAUAUUAAGUCAUUUGACUCUCAUAACAACUCUAUGAUGUAUUGUAUACCAUUUGACAGACUAAGAAUCUUAUUAAGUGAUUUGCCUUAGGAUACAGAUGACUUUGGAAUUCAUUACUAUAAGAUCCUAUUGAGUGACCUAAUGAAUAAGAAGAUGUUUUGAUGAAAAUUCAGAAUUGUAGAUUGUAAUAAUUAAAACUUUUAUAGUAAGUAUUAGAAAUAUAAAUAAAGGAGAGAAAGAGAAAGAAAAAAAAAAAGGAAGAAAGGAAGGGAGGAAGGGAGAGAGAGAGAGAGAGACAGAGAGGGAAGGAGGGAGGAAGGAAAGAAGGCAGGAGGACACAAAGUCAGUGAGGCUUCUGGACUGACGCAGACAAGGAUGAAGUGAUACCCAGACCUGUUGGAAGGACCAGAAUCACAAAUAGGAAAUCUAUCAGGAGCAUCACAAUAUUUUGUUGUUGUGGCUGUUCAUCAUAUUUGCUUCUCUGCUUAACUGUGUCGUUUCUCUUUUUCUCUCUGCUCCCCAGUACACAUGACCAUCGUGGCUUUCAAACUAAUUUGUUACAUCUCCAGCCACAAAGAACAAAUUAAAAAUCUCUCCGCUCAAAUUUCAUUUUCUUGAAGGAUGACCUUUGUAGGUCUCUACAUCAAGAGUGAGGCAUGAAGAUGUCAAAUAUUCAAGAGAGAGUUUUGCUAGUUGCUCUAGACAGAUCUCCCAUGCUGGUCUGUAGUGUUGUGGGAUCAUUGAAGUAUAUCGGGGUUAGACUUUCAGGUGUUCUGAACAGAAACUACUUUGAUCAACUAAACUAUACACAGUAUUUCAGAUCCUAGGGAAUUAACAUUAAAAUAACUCUUAGGAGAUGGCUUAAAAAAAAUUAGCCCCAAUUUAAUACGGUGAAAAAUAGACCUGAGUCAAAAAUCAUGACUGAUCCUGGAUGUAAGACCUUGAGGAUAAAGAGCAGUUUCCACUAGGUAGUGUGGGAUAAACAUUGAAAAUUCUUCUUGAAUUUUCCCUUUUAUAUGCAAUCUGCCUUCUCUGAAUAACAAUUGCCUUAGAUUCCAGACCUAAGGAAGCCAUGUUGACCCUGCUGGAGGAUUUCCUAGUCUCCCUCAACAAAAUAUUUGCAAAUAUCUCUCGACAUAUACAGUACUGCAGAGGGAUCUUCUUUUUUUUAUCUUUUUUUUUAUUUAAUGAUUUUUAUUUUUUUCCAUUAUAGAUGGUUUACAAUGCAGAGGGAUCUUCUUUGUGCUGAUUUUUAUCAGUUUCACAUCAGAAAGUGACCUUUUUGUGUGUGUAUGUGGGUGUGUGUGACACAUAAAAUACUGCUUGAUUACUAUCAUGAACAUUUGGUAAACAAAGACAUAAAUAAGAGGUGUAGUCAAGAGUCAGGAAGCAGAUGGGAUCAGAACUAAAGUUUAAGUAUAAAAAUAAGUGAAAAUGGCCCAGGAUGUGUGCCACAAAUGCUACUAGUACAAGAAUUGCUGUCUAAUGUGUCAACUAGUGUACCUAGAGAUGUCAGGCUGGAUCAAAAUAUAAUAUUAAGAUAUACCUAGGUGAAUACAGCAUAGUGUGUGCUGGCCAAGAACCAGUCGAUUGGGGUUAUUGAUUGGGGAGCAGUCAUGCACAAACUACCAAAGUAGUUGCAUUUGGUUGCAAAGUGGUGUACCACACAUGUGGGGGGCCCUUCACACGUUGGCCAUAAUAUCUUUGUAUAUUUGUUACAAAUUUGUGACAGAUAAUAACGAACAUAUUUUAGGGAAAGUGUGCCUUUUUCAAAUUCACAUGAAACUUGUAUAGGCUAAAGUGGUGUCAGUUACCCUUUUUUAUAGAGAGAAUGCAAAAUGAGAUGAAAGGUUUUAAAGGAAACUUAGUUAUCUUAACCUCAGAUCAGUGUUAAUUAACUACCCUUUUUAAGAGACAGUAAUAUAUCAUGGGCUGGGCAUGAAAUAGGAUAUUUCGUCUUUUGUCCGCUAUAAAUGCACACCACCAGGUUGUCCACCUAGCUGUGUUCCCUGUGAAAGAUUCUUGUCUCCGUUCAGAAGGAAUUCAGCAAAAAGACAGGGAAAUAGAGAAAGUAAAGUGAGGAUUUAUUUAAGUGAGAAGACACUUAUCUCCCCAAAUGUGUGGUUUCCGGUCUGUCAGUCUAGAGGUUUCUGCUUUUCUCUGUCUGCCCUUGGGUACCCGCUGUUUCCAUGAUGCAUGGUUUUCUGCCACCUGGCCCAAGCCUUCCUUUCUCUGCUCUUACCUAGCUAUCUGCCUCCUAUGAUAACUAUAGUAACCAGUACCCAGUAGUUUAUGAUUUUGGUUAAAUAGAUUCUGAACCAGCACCCUGAUUCAUAAUAUCUAAAAUUUCUGUUUUCGUAAUUUAAAAAUGUUCCUGUUUUAGAAUUUUAUUCAAAUUUCCAAGGAAAUUCUUCGUAUUUCUUUCAUUUUCUCUCUUUCCCUCUGCCUCUCCCUUUCCUUGUAGUAUACUGGGGUUUAUAGGACUUUGAAUUUUCUUAAAAUAUGUGACCUGUGGGAUAGAGAGAGACCAAAGAGUGAAAGAGAUCGCGAGAGAGCAAGCUUUAGUGAGUGGGCUUGAGCUGUUGAGGAAAGGAGUCAGAGGAGGCUGCUGUUAACAGUACUUUACCAGUAUGGUUCCUAUUGCCCCUAUUGUGGGAUUGACUAACCAGUGGUUUCUUUUAUAGUUCAGAAAUCAAACUAACGGUGAAAGAAAACUCUGUCUCGCCUGUAAUCUCAGGCUUGCAGAUGCACAUAUUCCCAUGGGAGGCAUGCAGUGGAAGAGCAUGGCACUAUUGCCUUUGGCUGUUGAUUGCUCUCUGUAUAAUUUGAAAAGUUGCCUGUUCCCACAGCUUUUGAAAUAUAUCAACAGUAAUAGAUUCAUAGUCGUUACUGUAGCCUACUGGAGGUUUGGCCAUUGUGACAGAUGUCUUCUCAAUUUCAUAUUGUAGGUUCUUAUUUACACCCUCCCCCCCCAGAAAAUUUCUUAUUUAAAACUCUAACAUUAAUGCAUCUGAUAUGAUGUUUAUAUCCAAGAGUGACUUUAGGUAUCAAUCUCUAACUUUAAGUUAAUAGUUAAUAGUUAAUUAAUGAUAAUGAGCCAAACACACCAGUAUCAACACAGCAUACUUUAGCUGCACUACAGUUUCUGGCAAAGAUUACUAGAUGAGAACAAUUAAACUCUGAGGUAUACUUUUGUUUUUAAUCAUUGGGGUGAUGCAUUUCUUGGUUACACAUUUAAAGUCUCUAUUUUUGCCUUAGAAUCUUAAAGACUUUGUCUUCGAUUUCUUUGUGUAUCUUAGAUUUGUGUUUUAGAGAUAUUUCAUCAGUGGAUGAGAAAUGUAGAGUGAUCCUUAAACAUCCCCACCAAGUUCAACAGUAAUCCAAGACAGAAGAGGUUGCCUGUACCACCUAAACUGACAACUGUUUGCAAGAGAAAUUCUACGCAUACACAGCAUACUCUAUAUUUUUAUGUCUUAUCCAGUGGACUUCUGGCAAAUAUAUUAAGAAAGAACAACUAUAUCUCCCUCUGUUGUUUAGUUUCUUAAGAAACUCCUGAGUUUAAGGCAUAUAUGUGUCAGUAAAUAUUUACUGUAAAUAAUACAUAUAUUUACUGUAAAUAUUCUUAACAGUGAUUGGGCUUGAAGAAAUACCUUCAGGGUUCAGAUAUUGCUUUCAUCAUUGUGAUUCCCUUAGCUUUGAAUAAAAAUUGUCGUCAUCAUUUUUUGAGAUUUACCAUCUGAUUUGUUUCAUCUGGUAGCUGCUUUGGUUUUCAUUUCCCUUUUUUUUUUUUUAAUGUAUUGUACUAAUUUCUUCUUUUAAAUAAUUUUCACAAUCUUAGAAACAAGUAUGGAUGAUAAUAAGUUAUGUAUGAGAGGGAGAGGGGGAGAGAGAGAGAGAAAACAGUAGCUCUCCACGGAAAGCAAGUAGGGUCUUGCAUGCAAAGUUUUUUUGGUCUUUUUUUAGUUUAUCAUCAGAUCACCCAGAAAGCACAGGUUAAAAGCUU
rnacentral:lncRNA from 1 species